GAUGAACGCUGGCGGCGUGCCUAAUACAUGCAAGUCGAGCGAACAGACGAGGAGCUUGCUCCUCUGAUGUUAGCGGCGGACGGGUGAGUAACACGUGGAUAACCUACCUAUAAGACUGGGAUAACUUCGGGAAACCGGAGCUAAUACCGGAUAAUAUAUUGAACCGCAUGGUUCAAUAGUGAAAGACGGUUUUGCUGUCACUUAUAGAUGGAUCCGCGCCGCAUUAGCUAGUUGGUAAGGUAACGGCUUACCAAGGCGACGAUGCGUAGCCGACCUGAGAGGGUGAUCGGCCACACUGGAACUGAGACACGGUCCAGACUCCUACGGGAGGCAGCAGUAGGGAAUCUUCCGAAAUGGGCGAAAGCCUGACGGAGCAACGCCGCGUGAGUGAAGAAGGUCUUCGGAUCGUAAAACUCUGUUAUUAGGGAAGAACAAAUGUGUAAGUAACUAUGCACGUCUUGACGGUACCUAAUCAGAAAGCCACGGCUAACUACGUG
rnacentral:rRNA from 1 species